rnacentral:rRNA from 1 species
UACGAGAGGCCCAAACGUUAUUCGGAUUUACUGGGCUUAAAGAGUCCGUAGGCGGCAUGUUAGGUGAGGUGUGAAAUCCCCCGGCUCAACCGAGGAAUUGCGCUUCAAACCGGCGUGCUUGAGGAAGAUAGAGGUGGGCGGAACUGAUGGUGGAGCGGUGAAAUGCGUUGAUAUCAUCAGGAACACCGGAGGCGAAGGCGGCCCACUGGGUCUUUUCUGACGCUGAGGGACGAAAGCUAGGGGAGCGAACGGG